AACGUAGGUGGCGAGCGUUAUCCGGAUUUACUGGGCGUAAAGAGCGCGCAGGCGGUCGUUCAAGUCGCGUGUGAAAGCCCCCGGCUCAACUGGGGAGGGUCACGCGAUACUGAUCGACUCGAAGGCAGGAGAGGGUAGUGGAAUUCCCGGUGUAGUGGUGAAAUGCGUAGAUAUCGGGAGGAACACCAGUGGCGAAGGCGACUACCUGGCCUGUUCUUGACGCUGAGGCGCGAAAGCUAGGGGAGCAAACGGG
rnacentral:rRNA from 1 species